rnacentral:rRNA from 1 species
GAUGAACGCUGGCGGCGUGCCUAAUACAUGCAAGUCGAGCGAACGGACGCGAAGCUUGCUUCUCUGAUGUUAGCGGCGGACGGGUGAGUAACACGUGGAUAACCUACCUAUAAGACUGGGAUAACUUCGGGAAACCGUAGCUAAUGCCGGAUAAUAUUUUGAACCGCAUGGUUCAAAAGUGAAAGACGGUCUUGCUGUCACUUAUAGAUGGAUCCGCGCUGCAUUAGCUAGUUGGUAAGGUAACGGCUUACCAAGGCAACGAUGCAUAGCCGACCUGAGAGGGUGGUCGGCCACACUGGAACUGAGACACGGUCCAGACUCCUACGGGAGGCAGCAGUAUGGAAUCUUCCGCAAUGGGCGAAAGCCUGACGGAGCAACGCCGCGUGAGUGAUGAAGGUCUUCGGAUCGUAAAACUCUGUUAGUUGUGAAGAACAUAUGUGUAAGUAACUGUGCACAUCUUGACGGUACCUAAUCAGAAAGCCACGGCUAACUACGUG